rnacentral:lncRNA from 1 species
AUGGAUCUGUUCCUACAGUCCGUCAUCCACUCGCUGUACUGCCAGAUCGUCUGCCAUUACCUCAGAGAAGCACAUUCGACACCAGGUGUAAGUUUUAUUUGCACUUUCAACGUUUUAGAGAACGCUAGUAUGAGAGACAGUUUUCUCAUCAGCGCCUUCCUGUCCUUCCCUGUCCUGCUCCCCAACGACCUGCUACACCCGUGGAUUAACCUAGAGGCCCACAAGCUGUUUUCAUUCAGUAAUUACCUGUGUAUUUAGUCCCAGCUUGUACCCUAGUUCUCUGCCAGAUCGUAGCGUGUUAUCACCUCAGUCCAGCAUUUGAUUUUCUGUUACUGUUCAAGUAAAAUAAGAUAAGAUAAGAUAAGAUAGAUCUUUCUCAUGUUCUUACGUAAGAUCCUGUUUUUUUUUUCAUACUUACCUGUCUUUGCCUGUUCCCUGUGGGUAUUUUGCCUGUGUGUUCUGGAUCUCCUGUUGGCGAUCGCUGCCUGUCUGACGCUGAUUUUUUUGCCCACCGUUUGUGGAGUGAUUCUUCAUUAAACGAACCUCCAAGCUAGUUCUGUCUCCAGCUGUGCAUGUAGGUCCUGCAUCACGCUCGUUUCCUGACAGUCCCUGACAGGAGGUUCGGGACAUUCCAUUCGCUCCUGUUCAGUAAAAGGGGACACUCAGUGGGCUGGAUCAGGUCCCUGCUGAGCCGUUCUUGUUCUCAGACCCCUGGCGCUCGUUUCCGUUCAUCCCCUUUUAUCAGCUCCCCGCAGCAACAGCUCCCCAUCAGGGUUCUGGGACGGACUCCAAUUUUAUUCCUGCCGACCUGGUCCAUGGCCCUGGUCUUCUUACAGCUCCCAUUGGGUACCACGAUCUCGAAACUGCUUUUAAUAAGUCCAGAGCCACGUCAUUACCCCCGCACCGCCCCUAUGACUGUGCUAUAGAUCUGAUCCCUAACUCCCCCCACAUAGAGGCAGGUUGUACUCGCUCACUAAUCCAGAACGUCAGGCUAUGGAGGGGAAAAUAACAGAAUCCUUGGCUGCUGGUCUUAUUCGACCAUCUACCUCAGGGAUAUCCAAAGUCCGGCCCGGGGGCCAAUCACGGCCCGCAGUAAGAUUUCAUACGGCCCGCAACUUCGGUCUUAUCAUGUAUUAUUUAUGGCCCACUAGCACUGUCUAACUGUUAGACAGUGCUAGUGGCCUGUGAGUGGGGGGAGGGGGAGGGUUGGACCACGUGUGCUAGGGGUUGCUAUGGUGGGGCCAAUGAACGGAGGUUUACGGCUUUGUUGGUCUCGUUUGAAGCCGAAGCCCGGGAGCCUCCAUCUUGAAAAGUUCCCGUUACUUUCGCUUUUGAAUUUAGCGAGUUAUGGCUCACAGAAGUUGGAAAAAAUUAUUUUUCGCUCACGAGUUGGAGCAGAACACUUGUAGUUUUUGGACCAGUGUGGAUGUACUGUGUGUUUUGGACCGAAACGCUUUAUUGGAUUACAUUCUCUGGAUCGUAACGAACGAAAAGAGACCACACAUGACGUGAUUGAGCGCGAUUUGAAGCUCAGAAGUUGUCAAAAGUAAGUGAUGGAAAAUUUAUGGAUUUAUGGUUAUUGUUUUUUAAACAUUUGGUGACUGUUCUGUGGUUGUUGUAGCUGGAAAUGGUUUAUAUGGUCGGAAAGACGAAAGUCUAAGCUUUCCAACGGUGUGCAGCUUGUGUCGCUGAGGUUUAGCAGCUAGAUUGUACACAGUCAUAACUCGCAUGAUGCCCUCAGGUUUCCUUCAGGAGGGACAGUAGAACUUAAGGGGUUGAAUAAGAUUUGGAUAUAACUGUUGUUGUUGUGUACCUGUAACAAACUAUUACUCUGAAAGAUGUUGUAAAAGAUAAGAGCAAAAUGUACUUGUUUUAAACUUUAAUGAUAAGAGACAACUUUGCAUUACAUAUAACUCCUGUUUAAAAUGUUCAUGAGGCAAAGAUAUUUAUCAAACUCAUGUAAAUUUAAGGUAUUUCAUACAGUUGUUAUCUGACUCCCCAGAUAUGAGUUGUCGUUUAAGAGUUGUUCACGUCUGCCUGAGCGGCUUAUAUUUGGUUACACUGCCAUUUGAAAAAUAAAAAGAAUUGUGACGAUGAAAAUUGUUUCA